GUUGCCAGCAGCCCGGCUGCGAGCCCGCCGGCGCCCGGCCACCCGCCCGCUGCGUCGCCUGGCAGCGCGCCUGCAGCUGAGUCAGCCUGUUGCAACCUGCUGUAUGAAGAACACCUUUGAAGGUAUCAGACGUAUCUGUCUUUUCUCUUAAAUACAAUGCACAGCAGCAGGAAAGGGCCUGCUCACCUGCUGGCCAGAGGCUUCCUGGCUCUCAGCCUCCUUGACUACUUUUUUUGAGACAGGGUCUUGCAGUGUCACCCAGGCUGGAGUGCAGUGGCGCGAACACGGCUCACUGCCGCCUCAACGUCCCAGGUGCAAGUGAUCAUCCUGCCUCAGCCUCCCAAGUAGCUGGGACUACCGGCAUGGACCGCCACACCUGGCUAAUUUUUUAAUUUUUUGUAGAGAUGGGGUCUCACUAUGUUGUUCAAGCUGGUCUCAAAAAACUCCUGGGCUCAAGCGAUCCUCCUGCCUCAGCCUCCCAAAGUGCUGGGAUCCACAACUCCCAAUGAUUCCCAGGGACCUGAGACAGAGCCUCCAUGGGCAAUAAACACACCAUGGUUUGUGUUUGUUUGUGUUUGGAUGUGCAUUGAAUCCUGGUAACUGUGAUUACCUGGGGUGGGAGGGCACUGGGGAUGAGGGAGGACUUUUCACUGUACUUUGCUGCUGUUUGAAUUUUUGUCACGUAUAUAUUACUUAAAAAUGUUUAUUUAAAAGCAUUUCAGACCUACAAAAAGGUGUCAGAAACAAAUGUGACACACAGUCACGCUGCCUUUCUCCCCAUUCCACACCCUGCAGAAAUCUCUAGCUAGCUUCAGUACUUCUCUGAGGAGUGAGGAGUGGAUGAAGCCUCAGAAUGCUU
rnacentral:lncRNA from 1 species